UACGAAGGGGGCUAGCGUUGCUCGGAAUCACUGGGCGUAAGCGCGCGUAGGCGGAUCGCUAAGUCAGGGGUGAAAUCCCAGGGCUCAACUCCAGAACUGCCUUUGAUACUGAAGAUCUCGAGUUCGGGAGAGGUGAGUGGAACUGCGAGUGUAGAGGUGAAAUUCGUAGAUAUUCGCAAGAACACCAGUGGCGAAGGCGGCUCACUGGCCCGAUACGUGACGCUGAGG
rnacentral:rRNA from 1 species